GAGAGGAAAGACAAGCUGAAAUUGCUAAUCUUGCCCGUGAAAAAGCUACUUUGUGCCAAAGACUAAGUGAUUCAGAGGCAACUACAAGCCGUCUUAAGGCUGAUAUGAAGGCCGAGAUAGAUCAGUUUGCUCGAGAAAAGAAGGAUUUCUCUGAGCAGAUACUUGAGCUUGAGAAUCAACUCGAAUGGGUCCGAUCAGAAAAAGACGAGGAAAUCGGAAAACUUGUUGCUGACCGAAGAGUUCUCCAGGACCGCCUUCAUGAUGCAG
rnacentral:misc_RNA from 1 species